CCUCGUGAACGCACCCAAAGACUAAAAUGUAAUCCAGGGGCGGGCUUUCCGCUUGCCCGAUUUCGGAGUGAUCGAGUGCUGUAUAUCCAAUUAGUAAUCAGUAAAGAUUCCCGGUGGACCAAUUAGAACGUAGUGUAUAUCCCCCGUCACCAAUCUGCUUCGACGGGGGCGGGACGUUGCUAAUAGCGGAAGCGAGGAGGUAAUGUCAGAUUUGGGCACUAGUCAAAUUCAAGGGGACCCCCCCUCCUCUCCACAAGUCUCCAGUUUGAGGUUGAUCUGCACUCGUUUAGCACAGCGUUACCAGUCUCUACUGGACAGAUCCACCCCGCACGCACUGGGAAGAUGGGGAGCCACUGUCAUUCUGGGACUGCUGUACAUGAUCCGAGUCUUCAUACUGCAGGGCUGGUAUAUUGUGACAUAUGCUUUGGGGAUUUAUCACCUGAAUCUACUGGUGGCGUUCCUGUCUCCUAAAAUUGAACCAUCAUUGCUAGAAGAUUCAGAUGAUGACAUGGCGCUGCCAACACAUCACAAUGAAGAAUUCCGACCCUUCAUCAGGAGACUCCCUGAGUUCAAAUUCUGGUACUCAGCUACUAAAGCAGUCCUGGUUGCCAUGGUGAUGACCUUCUUCGAAAUGUUCAACAUUCCGGUGUUCUGGCCAAUCCUGGUCCUGUAUUUCAUCAUGCUUACCUGCAUGACCAUGAAGAGGCAGAUCCGGCACAUGAUCAAGUAUCGCUAUGUUCCAUUCUCACACGGGAAAACACGCUACAGAGGCAAGGAAGAUACCGGAGACGUUUUCAUUAGCUGAGGAUUCCAGAUUGUAAUGUUUACUAAACACAUGAAACAGAUUGGAAACGGAUCAUACUAUCUGAAUUAAUCUGCACUCCCCAGACUGUGCUGUCCAGAGGGAACUGUGUGCGUGGGGUCUGGGGGAAGAAUAUUGCUUCAAACACAGGGAGAAAGUGACCAUGGCUGUGGGAUAGAGAGGCUUCACAGAAGAAGUUACAAUAAAGAGGUGUGGAAAUCAACAGAAAAGGAAAGCUCCAUGGCGAAGGCAGAGAGGAUGAAGUACGUGGAUUGGAAGGCCUGAGCGGAGGGCACUCUGAGCACAGCAUGAAGGAUACCGACAGGACCGGCACACUGGAGCUGCUGCACUCACAAGUUUGCUUUUGUGUCAAUUUUUGCUAUUACAACAAUUAUUAAUUAAAAUUAUUGUUUGAGAAGAUUUUGUUCAGAAGUGGCCCACCCUUUCUCAUGUGAGGUAAGGGAGGGAGCAGUUCAGUCUCCAUGCCUCAAGCCUGUCCUGGACUGUAGGGAGCACCCUUUCUCUUGGCAGGGGAAAUGGGAAAGCAGAUUAGUCUGUUUGCCCACCCAAACAUUUGUAGGACUCCUGAUUUUCCAUUCUUGGUAAUGGCAAAUUCCGUUUUUCAAAAUGACCAAUUCCUUUUUUAAAAAGGAAUAAUUCUGUUUUUUUCUGUUUUUACUAAUUUAUUAAGAAUUAACAAUGUAAUUUGAACAUAAAUAACAUUUUUACAUGAAAUCUAUUGAAUUCAUUAUAUAUUUUUUUUAUUCAAGUCCCUGAGAUACUGUAGUUUUCAGGAAAAAAAAUUCUUAAAGCAGUCCACUAGUAACAAUGUACUGUAGGUCAGUCAACAAAUAACGGGGUUUUGAAAAAACAGCUUAUUGCUAUUACAAUAUACAGACUAGUCAAACGAGGGGCAUUAUUACAAAAAUAUAUAAUUUUCAUAAAAUUACAAAUGAAAUACAAUGUUCAGGACACUUUUUAUCUCUCCCAUCUGUAGUUUCAUCUGCAACAACGCAGACUGGUUUAUGCUGUACUUGCUGUAAAACUGCUUGCAUGUGUUUCUCGUAUACCCUGGACAGAUAGAGGUGUCUUAGUUUUUUUUUUUUAAUUUAAGGGGGCCAGAUUGGAAAAAAAGUUAGGAGUAGGCGGGCCAGAGUAUUUUACUUUGUACAUUUGUAAGCAAUAAUAAAUAUUACAUAACUUAAUGUUCAUAUACUGAACACAAUUUACACAUUUUACCAUAUGAAUAGUACUUUAAUAAUAGAACAGUGUGAGAAUUUAACAGAGUAUCAUUACAAACAUUUUAAAAUGUAUGUGACAUACCAAUAGAAUAACUGUUAAGAAGUGAUCAGCAGUUCCACUUUUGAGCUUCUAACUACUGUGACCUCUGGAUACGUAUUUCCAAAAGCUUGUUUGGUUUCAAAAUGCAUUUUCAUAUUGUGUUCCUUAACUACUGACACACAUUCAUUGCACAAUAAACACAUCGGCUUUGCGUUCGGUACAGUUGGUAUAAUAAAUAAGUAUUUAUUGGUCCACUCAUUGUUGAAUCUACAAUUGUCACCAUUUUCUGUCAUUACUACAGUAGCUAGAGUAGAGAGAGCCACAUUAUAGCAACACGAGUAAAAAUAAGUUUUAUAAGGAGUUAAUGAUAAAUUAAAAAUAAUAAGUUAUAAAUUGAAAGGUUUCAGCUCUACUACCGCAUCGUUUCCUUGUGUUGAGCGGGUGACGGAGUAACGGAUUUGCGAUAAUAACUAAAUAAAUUAAUACAUAAAUUCAAUUACGUUUCUUCAAUCGGGGGGUUGAUGAUUUUUUUUUUUUUUUCCAGGUACUUUUCACUUUUCUGUAUAUACAACUAUACAACAAAAUGAUUCCACAGAACUCUCAAAACAGCUCGUUGCUUUUUUAAACAACUCGACUCACACAGCACACAAGCAGCGCCGCAACAGAGACAGACAGUUCAUCAGCGUAAUGCCCACAAAACCACCUGUUUUCUCAUUAUUCAAUGAUCCAAGUAAACAUACAAAAACUUUGCACAGUUUUGUUUUUUUUAAGGGCGCAGUUGCAAAGCAGAACCCCAUUCCCAAAAUGCCAAUUCCGUUCCCAAUGGCUAAUUCCGCGAUUCCAUCCAUUAUUCCGCGAUCUUGGAAAAUCAGUAGCCCUACAUUUGUAACAGUAAAAGAUGCCAACUGAACCAAAUUGUGCCAAAUUGUGUGGUGGUGUCUGGGCCGGGAUGUGGAGGUAUUCUGUCUGUCUGUCACUGGGGUCUAGGUCGUUGAAAUAAACUCAUUUCACAUUUUAUGACCUGUGCAGCCGGAUUUGAACCCAGGACUCCCCCGCCCUCCACCCCCCACCCCCGCCCUCCACCCCCCACCCCCGCCCUCCACCCCCCACCCCCACCCCCACCCUCCACCCCCCGCCCCCACCCCCACCCCCACCCCCACCCCCCACUCCCCACUCCCCACUAGGGAUGCUGUUCCACCACAUUAUAAAAAAACAUGUUACUCUAGAGACGAUUAGGUUGUGGCACCUGUACAGAAGUGUUGGACAGUGGGAUGCUGUGUUGGACAGUGGGAAGCUGUGUUGGAAGGUGGCUGACGCAGGUGAGCUGGUUCCCAAUGCAAUCCCUUCAUUAUAAUGUAACCUGAACUUGGUUUAUUUUGUCAUGGUGAAUGGAUAUAGGAAUGUUGUGCUUGGGAUUGAUUUAAUUUUGCUGCUGUAUUAUUUUUUUUGUUUGUCUAAUUUUUGUAAAUUAAUCCUGAAUAAUUACAUGUCCCGAAAUAAAACAAAAGGGAUUAUUUAC